rnacentral:rRNA from 1 species
UAGGGAAUCUUCCGCAAUGGACGCAAGUCUGACGGAGCAACGCCGCGUGAGUGAAGAAGGUUUUCGGAUCGUAAAGCUCUGUUGUUAAGGAAGAACGAGUGUGAGAAUGGAAAGUUCAUACUGUGACGGUACUUAACCAGAAAGGGACGGCUAACUACGUGCCAGCAGCCGCGGUAAUACGUAGGUCACGAGCGUUGUCCGGAUUUAUUGGGCGUAAAGCGAGCGCAGGCGGUUAGAUAAGUCUGAAGUUAAAGGCAGUGGCUCAACCAUUGUAGGCUUUGGAAACUGUUUAACUUGAGUGCAGAAGGGGAGAGUGGAAUUCCAUGUGUAACGGUGAAAUGCGUAGAUAUAUGGAGGAACACCGGUGGCGAAAGCGGCUCUCUGGUCUGUAACUGACGCUGAGGCUAGAAAGCGUGGGGAGCGAACAGG